AGUCGAACGAGAAACGGUCUAGCUUGCUAGAUGCAGUCUAAGUGGCGCACGGGUGAGUAAUGUAUAGCUAAUGUGCCCCUUGGAGGGGGAUAACAGUUGGAAACGGCUGCUAAUACCCCAUACUCCUUCAUUCUUAAUGAGUGAAGGGAAAGUUUUUUCGCCAAGGGAUCAGGCUAUAUGGUAUCAGCUAGUUGGUGAGGUAACGGCUCACCAAGGCAAUGACGCCUAACUGGUCUGAGAGGAUGAUCAGUCACACUGGAACUGAGACACGGUCCAGACUCCUACGGGAGGCAGCAGUGGGGAAUAUUGCACAAUGGAGGAAACUCUGAUGCAGCAACGCCGCGUGGAGGAUGACGCAUUUCGGUGUGUAAACUCCUUUUAUAUAGGAAGAUAAUGACGGUACUAUAUGAAUAAGCACCGGCUAACUCCGUGCCA
rnacentral:rRNA from 1 species